rnacentral:tRNA from 1 species
UAGGGGUUUAAGUUAUAAUCAAACUAGCGGCCUUCAAAGCCCCCAAAAAAGACAUACUUUAACCCCU